AGAUGAAAAGAUGGGCCAGGAGUCCAGUUUCUGGAAGGCCAAGAAUCGAAGUAGCAAGCUGCAGCCGUUUUCCAGACAAGCAGGAUGUGGGGAUGCAGAAGAAUUCAGGACUGGAGAGGCAAACUCCGUAAGCAGGGGCUGUCACGAUUCCCAUCUCCCUCUAUAAACCUCUCUCUUUUCAUGUCGUACUGUUCCAUGUUAUAUGUAACUGUUUUAAAGCUACAUACUGGACAAAAAAUG
rnacentral:lncRNA from 1 species